UACGUAGGUGGCAAGCGCUGUCCGGAAUUACUGGGUGUAAAGGGAGCGUAGGCGAGGAGCCAAGUUGGAUGUGAAAUACCGCAGCUUAACUGCGGGGCUGCAUCCAAAACUGGUUCUCUUGAGUGAAGUAGAGGUAGGCGGAAUUCCUAGUGUAGCGGUGGAAUGCGUAGAUAUUAGGAGGAACACCAGUGGCGAAGGCGGCCUACUGGGCUUUAACUGACGCUGAGGCUCGAAAGCGUGGGGAGCAAACAGG
rnacentral:rRNA from 1 species